AGUGAACGCUGGCGGUAGGCCUAACACAUGCAAGUCGAACGGCAGCACAGUAAGAGCUUGCUCUUACGGGUGGUGAGUGGAGGACGGGUGAGGAAUACAUCGGAAUCUACUUUUUCGUGGGGGAUAACGUAGGGAAACUUACGCUAAUACCGCAUACGACCUACGGGUGAAAGCAGGGGAUCUUCGGACCUUGCGCGAUUGAAUGAGCCGAUGUCGGAUUAGCUAGUUGGCGGGGGAAAGGCCCACCAAGGCGACGAUCCGUAGCUGGUCUGAGAGGAUGAUCAGCCACACUGGAACUGAGAAACGGUCCAGACUCCUACGGGAGGCAGCAGUGGGGAAUAUUGGACAAUGGGCGCAAGCCUGAUCCAGCCAUACCGCGUGGGUGAAGAAGGCCUUCGGGUUGUAAAGCCCUUUUGUUGGGAAAGAAAAGCAGCAGGUUAAUACCCCGCUGUUAUGACGGUACCCAAAGAAUAAGCACCGGCUAACUUCGUG
rnacentral:rRNA from 1 species